rfam:Felis catus isolate Cinnamon breed Abyssinian chromosome B1, whole genome shotgun sequence.
AAAGUGUCCUAUGCUACUGCCAUGGAUUGGUUUAUAGCUGUCUGCUUUGCUUUC